GUUCUUCCGUUAGGACAAGUUGGACGAACAGCGCUGCAACUUCGAAUAUCCAGAACUCACAAGGAUGAAUCAAUAUCUCCAGAGAGGGUACUUCCGGAACUUGGUCCUCUUGCUCUUAGUAUUGAGCGUUGUCACCCUUGUAUACGAAAUUUCUGUGGAAAAACCUCACGUUCAAAGAAUAACGAGGUACAUCUCAGGGAUAAGACCAUAUGUGGAGGAGGAGCGAGUGUUGACGGCAAAGACAUUUGCAGGAGUAGCACAGGACGACCCAGCUCUGGUGAACUACAUCCGUCACAACCUCCUCCAGCCGCCCUCACAACUACCCUAUAACCUCGCCAACCCAGAGCGCCAGCAUUUCUCUGAAUUUGAUCAGUCCAGCUACGCCGAUAGUGAGAUAUUACAU